UGCACUGAAUGGUAUCUGCAUCCAGUAGCACUACCUACUGUGGUGUUCAAUAUAUGGUGCAAUAUAAACUCAACAGGCAUCGUUGGUUUUCAAGCCUUUUUGUUUGUGAACCUGGUUUUUAUGUUGAUACAUUA